rnacentral:rRNA from 1 species
AACGGGAGGCUGCAGUANGGAAUCUUCCACAAUGGGCGCAAGCCUGAUGGAGCAACGCCGCGUGUGUGAUGAAGGCUUUCGGGUCGUAAAGCACUGUUGUAUGGGAAGAACGGGUUUAAGAGGAAAUGCUUAAACAGUGACGGUACCAUACCAGAAAGGGACGGCUAAAUACGUGCCAGCAGCCGCGGUAAUACGUAUGUCCCGAGCGUUAUCCGGAUUUAUUGGGCGUAAAGCGAGCGCAGACGGUUGCUUAAGUCUGAAGUGAAAGCCCACAGCUCAACUGUGGAAUGGCUUUGGAAACUGGGCAACUUGAGUGCAGUAGAGGUAAGUGGAACUCCAUGUGUAGCGGUGGAAUGCGUAGAUAUAUGGAAGAACACCAGUGGCGAAGGCGGCUUACUGGACUGCAACUGACGUUGAGGCUCGAAAGUGUGGGUAGCAAACAGGAUUAGAUACCCUGGUAGUCCACACCGUAAACGAUGGAUACUAGUUGUUAGAGGGUUUCCGCCCUUUAGUGNACAANCAAACGCAUUAAGUAUCCCGCCUGGGGAGUACNACCNCAAGGUUGAAACUCAAGGGAAUUGACGGGGGCCCNCACAAGCGGUG